ensembl:lncRNA
CUUUCCACUCACACCAGACUGACCCCAGAACAGUGGGAGAACCGCCUCAACAGAUUCAUCAACAACAUGAGCAGGUACCGGAUAAAAGUGACUGCAUUAAUAAUUCAAUUCUGCUUUUGUCUGUAUAGCGUGUUUAACAGCGUACGAUGUCACAGAGCAGCUUUACAGAAACUUAUACAUUCUUUACAUUUAGAAAUUUAUCCUUAACGUGCAAGCCAGAGGCAAAUUUUACAAAAGAAACAUUUGUAGCAUGCAUAUAAGGGAUGUGUAUUUACUUUACAGAGACUAUCCCGGGCAACACGAGGCUGAACAUAUAGCAUGAUGGUUUUUCUGAUUAUAUCAUUCUUAAGUUUAAUACACAAGUUUAAUAGUAAUAUACACUACCAAUCAAAAGUUUGUGGACACCCGACUGGAAAGUUUUUCAUGAUCUUAAAAGCCUUUUGAUCUGAAGGUGUACGAUUAAAUGUUUGAAAUGAACGUUAUACCAAUUUACACUGCUGAAUUUUUCAGUGAAUCUCUUCCAGGAAUGCCAGUGUUCAGACUACACUCAGCACAUGGGGUCUAAGCUUUGAGAACGAGCUGCUGAAUCUGACUGGAAGAGUUCUUCCUGCUGAGAGGAUCCUACAGGGAGCGAGAGCAGAUGGAGUACGAUGAUCGACAGGAGGCUCUGCUGAGAGCUCUGCAGCAGAGAGUGGUGCAACAGGUUCAGAUGCUGCAGUUCAUAGAAACCUCUUCAUGGCUAAAGCUG